CAACAACAGACUCGGUGAAAUUGUAAUUCCGGUGAAGAUGCCGGAUACCUGCGACAGGACGGAAAGACCCCAUGGAGCUUUACUGUAGCUUGACAUUGGGUUUUGGUACUACAUGUACAGGAUAGGUUGGAGGCUUUGAAACCAGGACGCCAGUUUUGGCGGAGCCAUCCUUGGGAUACCACCCUUGUAGUACUGGGACUCUAACCGUAGGCCAUGAAUCUGGACUUGG
rnacentral:rRNA from 1 species